AUUGAACGCUGGCGGCAUGCUUUACACAUGCAAGUCGAACGGUAACAGGGAGCUUGCUCCGCUGACGAGUGGCGAACGGGUGAGUAAUGCGUCGGAACGUGCCGAGUAGUGGGGGAUAACGCAUCGAAAGGUGUGCUAAUACCGCAUACGUACUGAGGUAGAAAGUGGGGGACCUUCGGGCCUUACGCUAUUCGAGCGGCCGACGUCUGAUUAGCUAGUUGGUGAGGUAAAGGCUCACCAAGGCGACGAUCAGUAGCGGGUCUGAGAGGAUGAUCCGCAACACGGGGACUGAGACACGGCCCAGACGCCUACGGGAGACAGCAGUGGGGAAUUUUGGACAAUGGGCGCAAGCCUGAUCCAGCCAUGCCGCGUGUCUGAAGAAGGCCUUCGGGUUGUAAAGGACUUUUGUCCGGGAGCAAAUGCUGGUGGCUAACAUCCACCGGAGCUGAGAGUACCGGAAGAAUAAGCACCGGCUAACUACGUGCCAGCAGCCGCCGUAACAC
rnacentral:rRNA from 1 species